rnacentral:misc_RNA from 1 species
GAUGAAGAACGUAGCGAAAUGCGAUAAGUAGUGUGAAUUGCAGAAUUCCGUGAAUCAUCGAAUCUUUGAACGCACAUUGCGCCUUCUGGAAUUCCGGAAGGCAUGCCUGUUCGAGAGUCAUUAACAACCGUUUCGAUCCCUUUCUUUCAGAAAUUACAAAGAGGAAAAGGGUUUGGUUAUGGUGGAGGAGGGAAAGGGAGCGUUUAGCCUGUAAAAAAAGAGGCUGUGUUCCGCCUCCCCCCCAAAAUUGUACAGGCGGUCGUGUGCGCCCACGCAUCGAGGUGUUGUAAAAGCUGCCACGGCACUUUUCACCUGUGCAGUGCGAGAUUGGCCAGCCGGUUUAAAAACCCCUCCAAACAAUCAAAGGUUGACCUCGGAUCAGGUAGGGAUACCCGCUGAACUUAAGCAUAUCAAUAAGCGGAGGA